ACCUAUUCUACUCUUAGAAAGGUUUGAGUAAGAGCGCAUCUGUUGGGACCCGAAAGAUGGUGAACUAUGCCUGAAUAGGGUGAAGCCAGAGGAAACUCUGGUGGAGGCUCGUAGCGAUUCUGACGUGCAAAUCGAUCGUCAAAUUUGGGUAUAGGGGCGAAAGACUAAUCGAACUGUCUAGUAGCUGGUUCCCUCCGAAGUUUCCCUCAGGAUAGCUGGAACUUACGGCAGUUUUAUCAGGUAAAGCGAAUGAUUAGAGGUCUUAGGGUUAAAACAACCUUAACCUAUUCUCAAACUUUAAAUUGGUAAGAAGUCCGACUUGCUUAAUUGAAGCCGGACAGUGAAUGCGAGUUCCUAGUGGGCCAUUUUUGGUAAAUUCAAUCAGCGUUCAAGAAUAUUGACCUCUCAGCCAAUUAAAAACACAGUGGAAGCAAGAUGAUUGAAUAGUGACACCGGGAAAAUCAGAGAAGUUGUAAAACGACAAAAAUCUUUUUGUUUGAGAU
rnacentral:ncRNA from 1 species